CCUUAUCCCUUGCCAUCACUUCUCUCUGACUUCUCCUUCUCUCACAGCGCGCCUCACCAUUUAUGCUUUUAAACCUGCCUUUGAGUUCUCUCUUCUCUCCGACAUCGCCUCUUCGAUAGAGCAUCUCAGUUUUACUUCCAUCACUCUCUUUCUCUCUAUUUUUAAAGGUUGAUUGCUAGAGUUUCCCUACAUGGAGAUGAUGUUAAAAUUGCCGUGGUUAAACGAUUCAUUCAUUACUAUUGAUUACAUGCAACACAGAAGACUGUUGAUGGUCCGUCGAUCAAGGACUGGAGAGGUGGAAGGGAUGAUUCAUUUAGCAUCAUUCCUAGCAGCACUUGUGCAGCUAAGGUAGGUUCAGAAAGCCCUUCCAAAGGUCUAGAAUCAUCAGAGCGCCUUGAUGGGUUUGUUCAUUCUAUUUGUAUAACUCCAGAAUGUGUUAAAUGAAUUCUAUGGUGUCAUCAUGAGUUGUUGAACAACAGUUUUACAUCCUAUAACUCUAUUGCAGAGCUGAAUUUGCUGAAAAUGAUAAGGUUUAUGCACAUAUGACUCCCCGGUAAAGAGUUCACCAUGAUAUUUAUCCUGGUAUUACCCUUUACAAAUUUAUUUAUGUUUAUGUUAAAUACAAAGUUUAAUACAUCUUAUGUACCUCCCAAAGUGGCUGAAAGGAUCUUUCCUCUCCUUGUGUGUUCAGUUUUUUAUUUUUCUUUUCACAUCUUAAUUAAAGUAUCAACGUUACACAUACUUGUUAUUUUUACAAAUUCUAGUGCUUAUUAAAGACCAUAUUGGACUUUUCGAUGCAACCCCAGCUAAAGGUAUGUAAAAGCUAACUUUUUUUGUAUCACAUUUGUCCCCUGAAGCUCUCGCUUACACGAACAUCAUUUUCAUUCUCAAGGACAACCACGAAUAAGUGUGAGGCUCACUAUACACGAAGAACUUACUUGACAUGUAGAAUUUUUUAUUAACAUUCAUUCUUUAAGGUUUAAUUUUUUCUUGUUAACUUGGUGAUAAUAUCAUAUGUUCGUUAAGCAUGUCAAUGUCUUGUAGUUUCUGUCAGGCUUUUGAGAAUUUUUUUCCAUCAUCUGAACUUGAUAUAUUUUGUGUUUUCAUUGCAAUUGUGGUUUGCGUUCUUAUUCAUUUCAAUGGGUAAGUAUUAUUAAUAUGCAUUCCUGUCGAUGGAAAUUAUUUGUGUUUCCUUGUAUUUGGUAUGCUAAAAUUGUGUUACAAGUUUAGUACUAAAUACUCCUAGUCGAUCAUAAAAAAUAUUCCUUGUAUAGCCUUCACUUGUCUGCAUUCUUCUAUAUCAUCUUUGAAUGGUCCAUUCUUAUCGUGUUGAAACUAAAUCAUUAACUAAUGCCCAAGCUUAUCUUUUCUGCAGGUAUGUGCGGCUCAGUUCAUCAUCAGAUAAUUCAUCAUUUUGUUAGGUUUCCCUUAUAUUUAAGAAAGCUUAGAACUAGUAUUGGUGUUAGUUCAUGUUUUGUUUAUAAUUUUUCUGGUUAUUCUGAACCCAAGUGUCAACUGAAAUCAAAUAUGAUCAGUGUGUUGUACAUAUAUGAAUUCAAAUCUUAAUUGAAUGGUGAAUAUUUCAACUUAAGAAUAUUGGAAUG